rnacentral:rRNA from 1 species
UGUUUGAUGUUCUAACGUGGACCCGUGAUCCGGGUUGCGGACAGUGUCUGGUGGGUAGUUUGACUGGGGCGGUCUCCUCCUAAAGAGUAACGGAGGAGCACGAAGGUUGGCUAAUCCUGGUCGGACAUCAGGAGGUUAGUGCAAUGGCAUAAGCCAGCUUGACUGCGAGCGUGACGGCGCGAGCAGGUGCGAAAGCAGGUCAUAGUGAUCCGGUGGUUCUGAAUGGAAGGGCCAUCGCUCAACGGAUAAAAGGUACUCCGGGGAUAACAGGCUGAUACCGCCCAAGAGUUCAUAUCGACGGCGGUGUUUGGCACCUCGAUGUCGGCUCAUCACAUCCUGGGGCUGAAGUAGGUCCCAAGGGUAUGGCUGUUCGCCAUUUAAAGUGGUACGCGAGCUGGGUUUAGAACGUCGUGAGACAGUUCGGUCCCUAUCUGCCGUGGGCGCUGGAGAACUGAGGGGGGCUGCUCCUAGUACGAGAGGACCGGAGUGGACGCAUCACUGGUGUUCGGGUUGUCAUGCCAAUGGCACUGCCCGGUAGCUAAAUGCGGAAGAGAUAAGUGCUGAAAGCAUCUAAGCACGAAACUUGCCCCGAGAUGAGUUCUCCCUGAGACUUUAGGUCUCCUGAAGGAACGUUGAAGACGACGACGUUG